rnacentral:ncRNA from 1 species
ACAAUAGAGGCGCAGAAGACAGGGUAGUUGAUCUCGGGGCAGCAGGGAGCCCAAUGGAGAGCGGCGAAGGGGUCUUUUGCCGAAGGUGUGCGCGUCCUGCAGCGUAUUCCUGGGGGUGCCGUGUAAGCGGUGCAACUGUCAUGUCCUAUGCAGACGUGGAGCGCUAUUGGU